AUUGAACGCUGGCGGCAUGCUUUACACAUGCAAGUCGAACGGCAGCACGGGCUUCGGCCUGGUGGCGAGUGGCGAACGGGUGAGUAAUAUAUCGGAACGUACCCAGAAGUGGGGGAUAACGUAGCGAAAGUUACGCUAAUACCGCAUACGAUCUAUGGAUGAAAGCAGGGGACCGCAAGCCCUUUUACUCCUGUGGCGGCGGAUAUCUGAUUAGCUAGUUGGGGAGGUAAAGGCUCACCAAGGGGACGAUCAGUAGCUGGUCUCAGAGGACGACCAGCAACAGGGGAACGGAGACACGGUCCAAACCCGUACGGGAGGCAGAGGUGGGAAAUUUUGGACAAGGGGCGCAAGCCUGAUCCAGAAAUGCCGCGUGAGUGAAGAAGGCCUUGGGGUUGUAAAGCUCUUUGGUCAGAGAGGAAACGGUAGAGGCUAAUAUCCUUGGCUAAGACCGGUACGUGAGGAAUAAGCACGGGCAACCUACGU
rnacentral:rRNA from 1 species